UACCAGAGCUCCUGAAAUAGCCACUCCUGUUCCAUUGGGCCAUCUGAGAUUGCUGGAAUCCCAGAGAACAGAUGGUAUGAAUUAGUCUGUCAGCCCUUGAAAACCCAGCAGAGGCAUCAUACGCUAUCUACCAAGAUACCCAACAACAGCAAGAAGAAGAAAGCUCUCGCGAACCAGCUUCAAAAGAGCAAAGAGAACUGCGCCUUUAGAAAAAUUCCCCAAGAACAGCUGUUUUGGGGGGUAGCCAGGCCAUGGCAUGUGCACUGCAAAGUGUCGCUGAGGUCUAAGUGAUGAUCCCUGUGUCCUGAAACAAAACGUUCUCGAGGGGCAUUCACCGAUAAAGCAGCCGAGGUCGCACCUCACCAGAAAAGUGAUUCUCAAUACUGGUUAGAUUAGGGGCUAUUUGAAAUAAAUCCAGCUGGGAUUCAGCACAUUCUUCAGGACCGCCAUGAAUUAAAGCUGUGUUGUGUUUUCAACAGGGGUUCUCAAGUUUUUACUUUCUGGGGCCCCUCCAACAUGCUAUAAAAACUCCACGGCCCACCUGUACCACCAUAACUGCUUUUCUCCAUCUAAAAGCCAGGGCCAGCGUUAGGGGGUAGCAAGCAGGGCAAUUUUCUAGGGCCUGCACAGGCUUCAGCUUCAGCCCCAGGUGGUGGGGUUCAGUGCCCGAGGCUUCAUCCCCAUGCAGUGGGCCUUCGGCUUUCUACCCUGGGCUCCAGUGAGACGACUUCUGGCCUGCUUGGCAGCCCUCCGGAAACCUGCUCGUGGCCCCCCCAGGGAGUCUAUAUCCCCUUUAUCAUGAUCUAUGGUCUUCUUCUUCGGACGGCUUUCACAUUUGUCUGCGAUGGCUUUAGGCAGCUUUCCUUUUAAAGGGCAUGGGAGGGCCUAUAAAUGGAUGCACAACGCUGCUCUUUUUCUCCUAAUCACUACUAGACCAGAGCCUCCCUGUUGCAUGUACUUGCCUUCCUUGUGUGUAAUGGCACUAGAUAUGUGGGUCACUUCAUUUUUGGUUAUAUGUUUUGCAUCCAUUUUCAUGUGAGUCUUAAUAAUUUCUAGCCCCUGUCUCAGAAUCAGCACAGCUUUUCUAAAAAGACUGUGGAAUAUCCAGUCUAACUCAGCCCCCUACAUAACAGGUAAUCCCUGAUUAUCCUAAUAGGGCAUAACCAGCCUGGGCCUUUUAGUAGUUCUUAAACAAAGAGGGGUCCCCAUCAUUUUUUAUGGUCACCGUCCUUCAACUUUCCCAAAGUGCAGAUGACAUUGAACGAUCAGCUUUCCGAACGAAAUGAAAUGUUUUUAUUCUGGUCUGUCUUUAUUUCCGUAGUGAUGUGCUGCUUACUCCAACGAACAUAAUGCAGUUUGCCAUGUAUGAUAGUGAUACAUUCAUUGUUGCUGCCACAGAUGUGAAAGCAACAGCGGACAUAGCAGUCCCCAAUUAACUGAUGCCCCUUAUGAUUCAGGUACUCUUAGGACGUGAUCUUAAAAAGGAUUGUGUUCACUUUAUUUUGAAACUGCCCGUCUAGACCGUUUUCCACACAGCCAGCGCGUUAGAACUGUUAACAUCGGUCGGUCGCCUGCUGUGGUAACUUCGGUUGUAACUGUGUAUAAAAGCCUGCCUCAUGUUGCGGUACCAAUAGGUGCUGUGGGAUGUAAAGUACCCCCUCAUCUUUCGUUUUAAAGUGCUGUUAACCCUCUCCACGACCCCCACUUUAACUUCAUUAUUGAUAACAAAACAGUAUGUGCCCGGUUGUGUUAACAAAUUCUUUAAAGCUUUGUUUACAAAUUCUUUUCCACAGUCCAUCUAUAAUUUUUGACUUGAUUGAAAAUAGUUUUAAAUGCCCUCGUCACCUCUUUUUGGUUUUAUCCUUUAGGGCUUCCACCCAGGUGUAUUUAGACAGGAUGUCUUUCAUCAUUAAAAUGUACUUACUACCAUCAUUGUGUUUAGAGCAGGGAGCUGUGUUAACCAGAUCAGCCUGCUAUUGUGUGUCCACAUUAGACACAACCGUUUUAUUUCUUUUAAACUUGAUUAUGGCUGGUUUAUGCAGGGUGCAAGCAUCUUAAUGUAUAAACCAGGCUGCAAGCUGCUUUCUGCUCAGAGUUUUACCUUGCUUUUUAGCAGCCUGGAAUAAGGGUAUCAUGACUCCAACACUCCCAACCUCUCCAGGAUAAUAAUGUAUUUUCUUUAACAGCCUUGUCAUUUCUGACCAAUGUAACUCUAGGACUCCUGUAUAGGUAAGAAAACACCGUUGGUGUUUUUUAAAUACAGAGCAAGGCAGAAUAUUUUACAUUAAUAUACAGAGUUUUAAAAGCAAAGUAAAUAAAUGGUAAUAUGUGGUAUCUAUAAACAGCUGUUGACACUCUUUGUGUUCCUCACAUUGCACUUUUAUUCUUAGUUCUGAAAUAAAAGGUGUUUAAAUUCUAA